GACGAACGCUGGCGGCGUGCUUAACACAUGCAAGUCGAACGGAAAGGCCCUGCUUUUGUGGGGUGCUCGAGUGGCGAACGGGUGAGUAACACGUGAGUAACCUGCCCUUGACUUUGGGAUAACUUCAGGAAACUGGGGCUAAUACCGGAUAGGAGCUCCUGCUGCAUGGUGGGGGUUGGAAAGUUUCGGCGGUUGGGGAUGGACUCGCGGCUUAUCAGCUUGUUGGUGGGGUAGUGGCUUACCAAGGCUUUGACGGGUAGCCGGCCUGAGAGGGUGACCGGCGACAUUGGGACUGAGAUACGGCCCAGACUCUUACGGGAGGCAGCAGUGGGGAAUAUUGCACAAUGGGCGGAAGCCUGAUGCAGCAACGCCGCGUGCGGGAUGACGGCCUUCGGGUUGUAAACCGCUUUCGCCUGUGACGAAGCGUGAGUGACGGUAAUGGGUAAAGAAGCACCGGCUAACUACGUG
rnacentral:rRNA from 1 species